UACGGAGGGUGCAAACGUUGCUCGGAAUCAUUGGGCGUAAAGCGCACGUAGGUGGUCUGUUAAGUCGGAUGUGAAAGCCCUGGGCUCAACCCAGGAAGUGCAUUCGAAACUGGCAGGCUUGAGUAUGGAAGAGGGUCGCGGAAUUCCCGGUGUAGAGGUGAAAUUCGUAGAUAUCAGGAGGAACACCAGUGGCGAAGGCGGCGACCUGGGCCAAUACUGACACUGAGGUGCGAAAGCGUGGGGAGCAAACAGG
rnacentral:rRNA from 1 species